rnacentral:rRNA from 1 species
CUACGGGCCGCAGCAGUGAGGAAUUUUGCGCAAUGGGCGAAAGCCUGACGCAGCAACGCCGCGUGAGUGAUGAAGGCCUUCGGGUCGUAAAGCUCUGUCAAGUGGGAAGAACCUAUGUAAUGUUAAUAUCAUUAUAUACUGACGGUACCACUGAAGGAAGCACCGGCUAACUCCGUGCCAGCAGCCGCGGUAAUACGGGGGGUGCAAGCGUUAUUCGGAAUCAUUGGGCGUAAAGGGCACGUAGGCGGCCUGGUAAGUCAGAUGUGAAAGCCCGGGGCUUAACCCCGGAAGUGCAUUUGAUACUGUCAGGCUUGAGUAUGGGAGAGGGAAGUGGAAUUCCUGGUGUAGAGGUGAAAUUCGUAGAUAUCAGGAGGAACACCGGUGGCGAAGGCGACUUCCUGGACCAAUACUGACGCUGAGGUGCGAAGGCGUGGGUAGCAAACAGGAUUAGAUACCCUCGUAGUC